rnacentral:rRNA from 1 species
UACGUAGGGCGCAAGCGUGUCCGGAAUUUAUUGGGCGUAAAGAGCUCGUAGGCGGUUUGUCGCGUCUGCUGUGAAAACCUCAGGCUCAACCUGGGGCUUGCAGUGGGUACGGGCAGACUAGAGUGCGGUAGGGGUGACUGGAAUUCCUGGUGUAGCGGUGGAAUGCGCAGAUAUCAGGAGGAACACCGAUGGCGAAGGCAGGUCACUGGGCUAUUACUAACACUCA